UACGUAGGGUGCGAGCGUUGUCCGGAAUUAUUGGGCGUAAAGAGCUCGUAGGCGGUGUGUCACGUCGGCCGUGAAAACCUGCAGCUUAACUGUGGGCGUGCGGUCGAUACGGGCAUCACUGGAGUUCGGCAGGGGAGACUGGAAUUCCUGGUGUAGCGGUGAAAUGCGUAGAUAUCUGGAGGAAUACCGGUGGCGAAGGCGCAUCCUGGACCGGCAUUGACGCUGAGGAGCGAAAGCCAGGGGAGCAAACGAG
rnacentral:rRNA from 1 species